AGUCAGUUAAACAAGAGCUCAUCCAUUUACUUCUAUUUGCUAAGCUCGAAGGGAAUCAUCACUUGACUUCUAUACACCAGUAGAAGCUAUAGAUUCCAUAUUUAUGUUCAGCACUCCCACUCAAUCAUACUAUCAUGUUCCCAAAAUAUACGUAUCACCCUGACCCAAAAGUAGGCUUAACUAAUAACUCAAAGAACAUGAAUAGUACUCCUGAGUUGAGCCUAAGCAUAUCAGGAUUUAGAUUCUUUUAAUCUUAAGAUCAACUACUGAUAUUGACUUGGAAAGAUAUAUAUAACGGUAAGUUUGUAAUAUCUUAACUUAGUUGCAAUAUCGAUCCAGUCCAAUGUAUACUCCAUACAUUCAAAAACUAGUAUACUUUACUAAUGUCCUCGAAAGAACAUAACACUUACUCCAAGUGUAAGUACACAUCAUCGUUGAUUAUCACAUUAGUGUAAAUCUAAAACACUGAUGAAACAGGGACUUAUUCUUUUGAUUCAUAUGAUCACAAUCACAUUCCACUGUGUUGACGAUACUGUAAUUGUGAAUAAAUAUAUGAUCUGGAUUUAACUGAUUUUGUGUGUAAAUGUAAUAAACAUAUUAAACCAUUAGCAUGUAAAAUUCAUGCAAACAUAAAUCACUUCAAAUUUCUUAUACUAUUACUAAUCAGAUUGUAAAGAGUUUUAUUUAGGGCAUAAAACCCAACAAUAUAUUGGUGCCAGAUUGUGGCACGGGCAAUCCUGAUUAGGUGAUGCAAUUAUAUGAUAUAUGGGUGCCAGGCUUUGGCACGGGCUUUCCUGAUUAGGCAAUGCAAAUACAGGAUUUUCAAACUAAAGCAUCAAUUUGCCUUAUUAGGUAAGGGCAAGGAAAAGUUAGAGCUGUCAUGAGGUGACUACCUUCUCCAACAAUGUACAUAUUGAUCCCACUGGCUUGUGUGCUGAGUUGCCAGGAGUUGUUUUGGACUGGUUGUAUCUACUGUAUUUUGAAUUGUGUUUGAAUUGCUAUUGUCUAUAGUUUCUUUUUUGGGUAAAUCUUUUAUAACAGGGAUCCCCAGAACACCUUUUUACUGCCGUUAUAAUGUCUGUUUCCAAUCUUUUAUUUUAGUCAAGUUUUUAAUAUUCUCAGAAUUUUUAAUAAUUAAUGAAUAUAAUAGUAUUAAUCUAGUUUACAAAA